rnacentral:rRNA from 1 species
GAAAUACAACUUUCAGCAACGGAUCUCUUGGCUCUCGCAUCGAUGAAGAACGCAGCGAAAUGCGAUAAGUAAUGUGAAUUGCAGAAUUCAGUGAAUCAUCGAAUCUUUGAACGCACCUUGCACUCCUUGGUAUUCCGAGGAGUAUGCCUGUUUGAGUGU